GGGGACAGGGGCAGAAAUCAUAUUGCAAAGAAAAUUUGAAGAACAAGCACUACAAGUCUGAUUCAUACCUCAUCAGGUAAGCCAUGUAGCUGGAACGGUGCUGCCGCAGCAGGAGCUCGUCGCCGGCCGCUCGGCAAGGCGGCAAGGGCUAACUACCUAGGGCGGCCUCUGGGGCAUCGCCGCCGUCGCCAGCUAGAAGCCCGACCAGCGGCCGUUGCUCAUCUAGUGUUGGCGUGAGAUCAAAGUCAUAGGCCUUGCUUGUCUCGGCUAACCAGGCUCAUCCCUAGAGAGUUUUCCCUGUAUGUCAUUAUAAAGUUGCACUCUGUCUCUGUGUUCUUGAAAAGUUAGUUACCUUUUCCGUGCCAUCCACGAACUUUAUUUGUGUCAUUUCCGUCAAGUUUUGAUGCUAACAGUGGCUAACGGCUAUUUCAAAUGACCUGUCUACCCUUUAUACA